GACGAACGCUGGCGGCGUGCUUAAUACAUGCAAGUCGAACGGAAAGGCCCUGCUUUUGUGGGGUGCUCGAGUGGCGAACGGGUGAGUAACACGCGAGUAACCUGCCCUUGACUUUGGGAUAACUUCAGGAAACUGGGGCUAAUACCGGAUAGGAGCUCCUGCUGCAUGGGGGGGGUUGGAAAGUUUCGGCGGUUGGGGAUGGACUCGCGGCUUAUCAGCUUGUUGGUGGGGUAGUGGCUUACCAAGGCUUUGACGGGUGGCCGGCCUGAGAGGGUGACCGGCCACAUUGGGACUGAGAUACGGCCCAGACUCCUACGGGAGGCAGCAGUGGGGAAUAUUGCACAAUGGGCGGAAGCCUGAUGCAGCAACGCCGCGUGCGGGAUGACGGCCUUCGGGUUGUAAACCGCUUUCGCCUGUGACGAAGCGUGAGUGACGGUAAUGGGUAAAGAAGCACCGGCUAACUACGUG
rnacentral:rRNA from 1 species